rnacentral:rRNA from 1 species
AUUGAACGCUGGCGGCAGGCCUAACACAUGCAAGUCGAACGAGUGGCGGACGGGUGAGUAAUGUCUGGGAAACUGCCCGAUGGAGGGGGAUAACUACUGGAAACGGUAGCUAAUACCGCAUACCAUCGGAUUUGCCCAGAUGGGAUUAGCUAGUAGGUGGGGUAAAGGCGCACCUAGGCGACGAUCGCUAGCUGGUCUGAGAGGAUGACCAGCCACACGGGAACUGGGACACGGUCCAGACUCUGACGGGAGGCAGCAGUGGGGAAUAUUGCACAAUGGGCGCAAGCCUGAUGCAGCCAGGCCGCGUGUAGGAAGAAGGCCUUCGGGUUGUAAAGUACUUUCAGCGGGGAGGCGUGACCCGCAGAAGAAGCACCGGCUAACUCCGUGCCAGCAGCCGCGGUAAUAC